rnacentral:lncRNA from 1 species
GACUAUAAUUGUUUACUUCUUUUGUUGUUUGUCUUCUGACAGUGCUAAUUUGCCAAUAGAAAAUACUGCAUACUAUAUCUGGUGCCAGCAUUAUUCAUCAAUUAUACAUCUUGAUUGGGAAAAUUUCACGGAGACAUUUAGUGUCAACUUGAGUUUAUUUUGGUCAAAAUACUGUUGCAAAGAUGUGCAACUUUAAUUUUUUUUUAAGAAAAUAAUUUAAAGAAAAAAAGAAUGAACAAGAUGAAAAAACAGUACUUUUCUAGGAACUUUUCCUGUAGAAUGUAUUUUUGCAAAGGAUUGUCAUAGUGUUAGCAAGUCAGCUUAGUUCAAUUUGAUAUUGUAUAAUGCACGAACUAAAACAUAGCCAAACAAGUUGGAGCUGAGUCCUGAUAUGAAUGGAUAUGAACCAGCAAUUAUUAGCUGAUCUAAAGUACCUUACACAAAGUCGUUCCAAAUCUGAUGCGGGAAAAAAAGAGAUUUAAAAUGCAAUAAGAAAGAAAAGAAGAAGCUAAGAAGAAGCCAAAGAAAAAAAGAAAAAACUGAAGAAGAGAAGAAUGAGCAUUGGAAAAGUAUUCAACUCUGCAAUUUUUAUUUAAUUUUUCAAAAACUGUCUAAAGAAAAAUAGGAUAUAAAUACUAAAACCCUAACUAGAACAAACAAUUAGGCUUAUAGCCCAUUAAAUAAAAUACCCAAUAAUAAUUAAAUCAAGUCCAACAAAUAAAACAUAAUUAAUAAACCUUAACUAAAAGUUCAAAUAAAUUAAACUAAAACUUAAGUUAAAGCUCAAUCUCUCAAUGGUUUGGACAACCCUCCAUCAUAUAUGAUCAUACGAGUGUAUAAACAAUGUUUCGGGUCUAGUGUCCCUACCAACUCUCUUGGGGUUGGAGAAACUAAACCCCGUAGUUCAAGGCGACUCUAAUAAUACUUCCAUGAACAACACUAUAUGACUGAGGGUUUUGAGUGGAACAAACACUAUUUGAAACCUAUGACGUGCUGAAUGUCAAACAUGAAGGGGUGAGGAGCAUGUUGCUCUAAACCUUUAACGUGCUGGACGUCAAGCAUGAUAGGUGGGGAAUCUAGUUUAAGAGAACUAAUAUCAUGAGACUCUUCUAAGAUCAUAUUUACCUCUUCGGACAAUUCCACUAAAAAGUUUUCUAAAACUUCUUCCUCAAGCACUAAAGUAAAUUAUUAUAUUCUUUAUUAAUCUCAUUUUCAGAUUCAUUUGAACUUAUAGUGUUAAGUCCCUCUUCUUGCACAUACUUUUCAUCUAGGUCACUAAAGUCAUCAAGAUUGAGUUUAUUUAUAUGCACAUAAUAGUUUUUCAUUUCACCUAUAUCCUUAUGUUCUUAGAUGACUAAGGGUUUAGAGAUGCAGUUGAAGAAGAUAUGAUUGAAACCUUAACAUUUAGCGCACUAAACCUUUGAACUCAACAAAGACAUUUCAUUAACGAUUUUUUUUUUCCGUUAUCUUCUUUAUAAUUUUAGGCACUACUAGGAUUAGGUCUACAUGAUGGAGCACCACCUAACAAAGAACUAUCAUUUCUAAAUUGAGAUCUAAAAGGGUACUAUGAGGGUCUUGACAUCUCAUCCAUUGCUAGAUCCAUCCACUAAAUAAAAUACCCAAUAAUAAUUAAAUCAAGUUCAACAAAUAAAGUCUAAUCAAUAAAUCUCAACUAAAAGUUCAAAUAGAUUAAACCAAAACAUAAGCUACAACUCAGUCUCUCAAUGGUUUAGAUUACUAUCUAUUGUCUAUGAUCAUACUUGUAUGUAAACAAUGUUUCGGAUUUGAUGUCCCCACCAAACCAAAAGCCUUCUUUAUGUUGAAUGUUGAUUGGUUAGUCCUAGUCCUAGUUUUCUGCUUCCACGGAUGGGGAUGGAUAGUUCACAUCAGUUGUGCAACUGGUUUGAGGCCUAACAAAAUAAUCAAAUUGAAUCUUCUAGUUGAGAGCCUAAUAAUUUGAAUCAGCAUAAUAACAUUGAGAAUGCACUAUAGUUGGUGACCUUAAAGUGUUAAAAAGUGUCAAAUAUAAUCAACUAGUGAGAGGAGUUAUGACCUUAGAUUAUUUCUUUGUGAAUUUGAUGCCAGAAAAGAACAGCUUUUCUCCUUGUUAUCUUGUCUUUUAAGAUAGGUUAAGCAUUUGUUUUCGCAUUUUGAAUUGAUUAUAUUAAAUUAUAUACUCUUACCACAUCAUCAUUUCUUUUUAAGUAGUCUUCAUUUCUUUCUGUUACACGUGUUGUGUUUCUUUGGCAUUUGUCUUAAGAGAACUCUUCAUUGUUUUAUUUGUGAUUAUUCCCAGCACAUUUGGGGGAAAUCCUUUAGCCAGUGCAGUUGCCAUUGCUUCACUAGAUGUGAUCAAAGAAGAAGGGCUUGCUGAGAGGUAUCAUGUGUUAACCACAUUAAAUUAAACUUCUGUGACUAAAUUUUGAUUGCAAUCUCAGUUGUCUGAGAAGUUGGAGAGUUUUUAGGUGUGGGUAUCUGAGUGAACUACUUUGAAAACAUUUCCAAACAAUAGUCGGUUCUUUUUAACUGAAUUCCAUUAGAACAUCUUCCCGAAACAGCAUUCUAUGACAAAAUUGUGUGCUUAAACACGAGGAAGCUUAUUUUGGAACUUUUUGAACAUGAGUUAUUUUGGAAAUAUAUGCAAACAAUUUGUCAGUGUUUUGAAAAAAAUUCUCUUAGAACCUCAUUUAGAAACAAAAUUCUAUGAAAAAUUCAUGUUUUAUUUACAGCUAAACUUGUUUAUCCACAUUUUAUAUUUUGAAAUCUCUCUAACCCAUUUACCUUCCUUCUUUGCUUUUGUUUUUUCCCUUUCAAAAAGCUGAUUAAUUUGUGAAUUACCGGAUGUUUUUCUAUUCAAUAGAUCCUACCAUUUGGGGAAAGAACUCAGGCAUCAGCUACUUAAGGUUCAGCAACAGUUUCCAGACAUCAUUAAGGAAGUUCGAGGUAGAGGUUUGUUCAAUGCUGUGGAGUUCAACAGCAAGACUUUGUCCCCUGUUUCUGCAUAUGAUAUUUGUCUGAAGUUGAAGGAAAGAGGAGUUCUUGCUAAGCCUACACAUGACACUAUUGUCCGGUUAACUCCUCCACUUUCCAUUAGGUAAGGAAGAUGUUUGAUGAGUGCUAAAUGUUAUAAUGUCACCGAAAGUAUAAAUAUCUUGAGAAUGAUCUGGUGUGAUGCUAUCUCUUUCCAUACAAUCCAAGUAAUAAACAAGAUUGAUCUGAUAUGGGUUAAAGAGAGAAGGUGCCUGGAUGAACAGUCACUAUCCAAGAUUAUUAUCCUGUACUAGGCCUUUAUGCUUUUCACAAAAAACUAGGACCUUAUUGAAACCUGAUACUAUCCAUUCACAUUUGCUUGGCCCUUUGAUUCGUAGUGGAAACUUUGUUUCUUUCUUCGGAUUCAAUGUAGUGAAUGAUGCCUCAAAAAUCUUUUAGUUAUACUGGAACAUUUUCAGAAAUGUAUCUGAAAAGAUUCUGUCACAAGACUAGUCAUGCCAAUUAAGGAUGGCAUUUGUUUUUGUUGCAAAAAUGAAACAAAUAAAAUCUGCACCACAUGCAAUUAUGUAUUCAAAGACCCACCUUACAUAGUUGAACAAGAUUUAUGUGGUAUGCUGUAAAUCAUCAUCCUGCUAUUGCAUUAUUGUUGACUCGUGAACAAGAUACUGAGAUGCUAUUUACCUGGCAGUAAAAGUUGGAAUGCACGUUUAAUCAGGAAACAAUUUUGUCACGAAAUUUUCUUAUGGGAAAAUUGUAUAACCUGGAAUAAUUUUUUCUUUUUCAGUUCGGAUGAGCUCCAAGAAGGAUCAAAGACUCUGCAUGAAGUUCUGGAACUUGAUCUACCAAAGAUGAAGGCGGCC